GGGAACAGAGACUAAUCCCCUAGGGCCCGAGACUUUUUUUACUGAUUUGUUUUGUGUGAAAGAAUUAUCAAAUUCGAAGACUCAGAUUUUGGAUUUAAAAAAGUAGAAACGAUGUUUGCGCUGCUGGUGGUGCCGCUUUCCUUUACUUAAGGAGUUCGGACUGUAAAAGUCAAGCUCAGAUUCUGAACAGAACUGUCCGCGUGAAAGAGCUUCAAGAGUUGGGGGAAUUGAUUGGUAACAGCGAUAUAUCGAGUCUCCUUGUCGCUGUAUCUGGAAAAGUCGGAUCUAAUGAAGCUUUCAUGUGUAAACGCAGUGGCGUUUUGGCUGUUUCUCUCACUGAAAAAGGCCGAACUUGUUGUUAAAACGGAGUCUUCCAAAUAAGCUGGUUUAUUGAAAACGGAGUUUAAAGAGGCUGGUUUAUUGAAUACGGAGUCCGAAGAGAUUCUACUAAGCCAGAAAACUGUCCCUUGGUUUCUGGAAGACGAUACUGGCCGGGUUAAUGUAGUUGGAUUUUAUGGUACUUUUAAAAGAAAUGUGUUUGAUGAACCUUUGAAUGAACUUUACGAAAGGGUGCUUCGUCGCAAAGAAGUCAAGAUUGUUAAACACACUUGCUCUGAGGAAUUUCUUGAGAUCGGUACGCCUUUGAGUAUUAUCGCUAAGGCUUACAGAGGCAGAGAUGGGACUCCCACAAUCCACGCACUACCCUCUCUAGUCUUCAAUGGACGUAAAGAACUCAAGGAAUUGAUUGGUACUAUGGAAUCAGAUUCAGUGUCUUAUUGGAGUUGCUCCAUUUGGUUGACAGCUUGGGGUAUGGUUUUCUCGCUGUAGGCCUUUUUGCAGGAUGACCACGCUUUAGAAUAGCGUUUUCAGUUUUAAUUUUGCUUUUGGGAUUCUUCUGGUUUUAAACUCAUCCCCUGUCAUAUCUACUAGUCACUGACUUUAUAAUGUGUAUUUUAUCAACCGGAAUGCACAUCUCUAAAACACCCGUUGCAAAUGGAACUUAGCUCAAACGAAA